AGAGUUUGAUCCUGGCUCAGAAUCAACGCUGGCGGCGUGCCUAACACAUGCAAGUCGAACGAGAAAGGGGAGCAAUCCCUGAGUAAAGUGGCGACCGGGUGAGUAACACGUGACCAAUCUACCCUGGAGUGGGGGAUAACCUCGGGAAACCGGGGCUAAUACCGCAUAACAUCCCUGGAUCGGAAGAACUGGGGAUCAAAGGAGCAAUUCGCUUCAGGAGGAGGUCGCGGCUGAUUAGCUAGUUGGCGGGGUAAUGGCCCACCAAGGCGAAGAUCGGUAGCCGGCCUGAGAGGGCGCACGGCCACACUGGAACUGAAACACGGUCCAGACUCCUACGGGAGGCAGCAGUGGGGAAUUUUGCGCAAUGGGGGAAACCCUGACGCAGCAACGCCGCGUGGAGGAUGAAGUCCCUUGGGACGUAAACUCCUUUCGACCCGGACGAUAAUGACGGUACGGGUGGAAGAAGCCCCGGCUAACUUCGUGCCAGCAGCCGCGGUAAUACGAGGGGGGCAAGCGUUGUUCGGAAUUAUUGGGCGUAAAGGGCGCGUAGGCGGUGCGGUAAGUCACCUGUGAAAUCUCUGGGCUCAACUCAGAGCUUGCAGGCGAAACUGCCGUGCUCGAGGGUGGGAGAGGUGCGUGGAAUUCCCGGUGUAGCGGUGAAAUGCGUAGAUAUCGGGAGGAACACCUGUGGCGAAAGCGGCGCACUGGACCACAUCUGACGCUGAGCGCGAAAGCUAGGGGAGCAAACAGGAUUAGAUACCCUGGUAGUCC
rnacentral:rRNA from 1 species